rnacentral:lncRNA from 1 species
GGAUGAUGGCAUGGGCGGGAGGAGGAAGAAGGGCAUCAAGGAGAAGAUCAAGGAGAAGCUCCCCGGUGGCCACGGUGACCAGCAGCACACCGGUGGCACCUACAGACAGCAGGGUACUGGCAUGGUCGGCACCGGCGGCACCUACGGGCAGAAGGGUCACACUGGGAUGACCGGCACCGGCGGCACCUACGGGCAGCAGGGUCACACUGGGAUGACCGGCACCGGCGGCACCUACGGGCAGCAGGGCCACACUGGGAUGACCGGCACCGGCGGCACCUACGGACAGCAAGGCCACACCGGGAUGGCCGGCACCGGGGCGCAUGGCACCACGGCCACUGGUGGCACCUACGGGCAGCCGGGCCACACCGGGAUGACAGGCACGGGGGCGCACGGCACCGGAGGCACCUACGGGCAGCACGGCACUGACACCGGCGAGAAGAAGGGCAUCAUGGACAAGAUCAAGGAGAAGCUCCCAGGCCAGCACUGAGCGCUGAGGAGAGCCCGCG